GGUAAUACGUAGGUGGCAAGCGUUGUCCGGAAUUAUUGGGCGUAAAGCGCGCGCAGGUGGUUCCUUAAGUCUGAUGUGAAAGCCCACGGCUCAACCGUGGAGGGUCAUUGGAAACUGGGGAACUUGAGUGCAGAAGAGGAAAGUGGAAUUCCAAGUGUAGCGGUGAAAUGCGUAGAGAUUUGGAGGAACACCAGUGGCGAAGGCGACUUUCUGGUCUGUAACUGACACUGAGGCGCGAAAGCGUGGGGAGCAAACAGGAUUA
rnacentral:rRNA from 1 species